rnacentral:rRNA from 1 species
CCUACGGGAGGCAGCAGUGGGGAAUAUUGCGCAAUGGACGAAAGUCUGACGCAGCGACGCCGCGUGUGGGAUGACGGUCUUCGGAUUGUAAACCACUGUCGGGAGGGACGAAUACGCCGCAAGGCGGGUGACGGUACCUCCAAAGGAAGCACCGGCUAACUCCGUGCCAGCAGCCGCGGUAAU